CGGUAAGGUGAUAUGAACCGUUAUAAC
rnacentral:ncRNA from 2 species